rnacentral:rRNA from 1 species
UACGAAGGGGGCUAGCGUUGCUCGGAAUUACUGGGCGUAAAGGGCGCGUAGGCGGCCCGCUAAGUCGAACGUGAAAUCCCCGGGCUCAACCCGGGAACUGCGUCCGAUACUGGCGGGCUUGAAUCCGGGAGAGGGAUGCGGAAUUCCAGGUGUAGCGGUGAAAUGCGUAGAUAUCGGGAGGAACACCAGCGGCGAAGGCGGCACUCUGGGCCGACACUGACGCUGAGGAGCGAAAAGCGUGGGGGAGCGAACAGG